rnacentral:lncRNA from 10 species
CUUUGGUGAAUCUGACAAUUAUGUGUCUUGGAGUUUCUCUUCUUGAGGAGUAUCUUUUGGCAUUCUCUGUAUUUCCUGAACUUGAAUGUUGGCCUGUCUUGCUAGAUUGGGGAAGUUCUCCUGGAUAAUAUCCUGCAGAGUGUUUUCCAACUUGGUUCCAUUCUCCCUGUCACUUUCAGGUACACCAAUCAAAUGUAGAUUUGGUCUUUUCACGUAGUCCCAUGUUUCUUGGAGGCUUUGUUUGUUUCUUUUUAUUCCUUUUUCUCUAAACUUCUCACUUCAUUUCAUUCAUUUGAUCUUCCAUCACUGAUACACUUUCUUCCAGUUGAUGGAAUCGGCUACUGAGGCUUGUGCAUUCGUCAUGUAGUUCUUGUGCCUUGGUUUUCAGCUCCAUCAGGUCCUUUAAGGACUUCUCUGCAGUGAUUAUUCUCGUCAGCCAUUCAUCUAAUUUUUUUAAGGUUUUUAACUUCUUUGCCAUGGGUUCGAUUUCUAAACAGGCAUGUGUGUGACUUCUCGCUGUCCAUCUCCUUCAGAACCGUGUCUCUGCCAUUCAGACUUUCAUCCCAGGGCCUCCCCCAGAGCUGUGGAGGGAAUGAGACUGGCUUGUAGCCCACCACUCCAAGGAUCAGGAUCUCUGUAAUAUAUGAGUUCCUGUCUGUGAGAGAGUUGGGCUUGCACAGCCUUGAGGGUCCCUAGGGAUAUUUUGCCUGGGCUGCAGGAACUCCAAGUAUUGUUUUAACCUCCCUAUAUAGAGUGAGCCUGGGGCCCAGCUCUUUGCUGCCAGGGGCUGGGAGUUGUAGGGCCU